rfam:Tsukamurella pulmonis strain DSM 44142 genome assembly, contig: Ga0074760_12
GGCGCCAUUCGUUCGCUGAGGCUCCUUCGCGGAAACAGGCCAGCGACCCCGAACGUCGAGAGACGCCCCGGGUCAGGACAGGUGCAUCCGGAUUAAGGGUGCGCCCCGAUUGGCUCCCGUACUGCGCGUACGGGUUCACGCCGCGAAGUGCUGAAGGUCUGACGUGGAGGGGCGUU